rnacentral:rRNA from 1 species
GAUCCUGGCUCAGGAUGAACGCUAGCUACAGGCUUAACACAUGCAAGUCGAGGGGCAGCGAUGAACUUAGCUUGCUAAGUUUGAUGGCGACCGGCGCACGGGUGAGUAACACGUAUCCAACCUUCCGUUUACGUCAGGGAUAGCCUUUCGAAAAGAAACGAUUAAUACCUGAUAGUAUGGUGAGAUUGCAUGAUAGCACCAUUAAAGAUUUAUUGGUAAACGAUGGGGAUGCGUUCCAUUAGG